rnacentral:rRNA from 1 species
CGCCAUGGCGCCGGCGGGAAUUCGAUUCUAAGCCCAUGCGAGUCAAAAUGUUCUUCGUGAACAUAGCGUACUGCUCAGUAACACGUGGAUAACCUGCCCUUAGGACUGGCAUAACCCCGGGAAAACUGGGGAUAAUUCCGAAUAGUUCAUGGUAGUUGGAAUGCUCCAUGAUCGAAAGCUAUUGCGCCUAAGGAUGGGUCUGCGGUCUAUCAGGUAGUAGUGGGUGUAAUGUACCUACUAGCCGACGACGGAUACGGGUUGUGGGAGCAAGAGCCCGGAGAUGGAUUCUGAGACAUGAAUCCAGGCCCUACGGGGCGCAGCAGGCGCGAAAACUUUACAAUGCGGGAAACCGCGAUAAGGGGACACCGAGUGCCAGCAUCUUAUGUUGGCUGUCCGCAUGUAUAAAUCACAUGUGUUAGCAAGGGCCGGGCAAGACCGGCGCCAGCCGCCGCGGUAACACCGGCGGCCCGAGUGGUGGCCACUAUUAUUGGGUCUAAAGGGUCCGUAGCCGGUUUGGUCAGUCUUCCGGGAAAUCUGACGGCUUAACCGUUAGGCUUUCGGGGGAUACUACCAGGCUUGGGACCGGGAGAGGUAAGAGGUACUACGGGGGUAGGAGUGAAAUCUUGUAAUCCUCGUGGGACCACCAGUGGCGAAGGCGUCUUACCAGAACGGGUCCGACGGUGAGGGACGAAAGCUGGGGGCACGAACCGGACUAGAUACCCGGGUAGUCCCAGCCGUAAACUAUGCUCGCUAGGUGUCAGGGACGGUGCGACCGUUUCUGGUGCCGCAGGGAAGCCGUGAAGCGAGCCACCUGGGAAGUACGGUCGCAAGGCUGAAACUUAAAGGAAUUGGCGGGGGAGCACUACAACGGGUGGAGCCUGCGGUUUAAUUGGGCUCAACGCCGGAAAACUCACCGGGGGCGACAGCAAUAUGUAGGUCAAGCUAAGACAGUUC